UAAAGGCAGCCACGAAGGCUCUCUGCCUCCCUGUGUUAAUGCCAGUCCUCCUGGCGGCUUCCUUUUCCUCCGCAGACCUGAACUUGCAGCUCCUUUCAUACAUAGCUGGUUGAAGCUGAUGGAAAUUACAUGUCUUAUCACUUCUUAAAGGGGGAAAAAAAAUCAUAAAAUGUAAAUCUAAAAGAAAUGGGCAAUUUUCUUGUACCACUUUCUACUCCUGUGUAAGUUACCAAGUGCCAAUCAUUCCACUUUUUAAAAUUCCGGUUUGUCAGGCAGCGCGCAGGCUUUCAGUGUUGUACGAGAAGAGAUAAUGCCUCGUGUGGAACCGCCACUUACGCUGCGUCUGUGGAAGUGCCGCCCUGAAGAGACGUGGUCAGAGGGCUGGUUUUACAGAAAUAUGAAUGAUCUCAUUAAACACACCCUCCGCUCUGGGGUCACCAUGGAUCUCCUGAAAGGUCGUAGACAAGUGAGAGGUGCUAAGCUUUGGCCAAGAAGGGGACAGAGAACAGAGCCCAGGUCCUGUCUGUGGCGGCCACCUCCACAGUGUUUGAUAGAUAACUCUAAGAUUGUGGAAGGUAAGAAGCGGCCAGCCUGGAAGCUUUGUACAAUACCACGAUCCUGGUAAUGCCCCCUUCAAGUGAGCCCUGGAUUUGACUAUCAGCCCCAGGCCGUGAGAGAUGAGGAAAUACCAGCCCUGGAAGAUUGCCGGCCUUGCCGCAGUCCACACCGCUGAUCUGCGAGAUUUCUCUCCCAUCGCACUCUCGCAGACACUAUGAAUCAAACCGAAGCCCUUCGCUGCUGCGGACGGAUGGACGCCCCUGUGGAAGGAACCACGUGAAGACUUCAAGGAACAGAAGGUCAAAUCGGCCUCUGUGCACUCUCUUUGUCUGAGAGACCGAUGUCAUGUGUUUGCAAUAUUAAUGAUUAAGUAGCAACGUUAGACAACAGUGAAAGAAGUGUCCCCAAACAGAGCAGGAUUACUUGGAGGUUCCGGGUGUUUUCUGCCUCAAAAGCAAAGCCCCUACUGCCUAUCUAAACAGUAGGCUAUGAGCACAGGGCUACCCCUAC